CCCAAAUCAUCAUUAAUUGUAACUGCAAUUUGGAAGAAUCCUGGCUGUUUAAAGUCCCUAACUUUUGAUCUGAGCCAUUGAAAGUCCUUAAAAUGGCAGUUUUACAAUCUCUCUCCUUAAAUCAUGUGGUUUCAGGCGGUUUCCGUUCACCCCACCCACGUUUCCCGCUUUCUCCUCCCCAACCGCCCCAGGUCACCCACUAUAAAUCCUCCCCUACCCAGCAUCAUCAAGGCCUCGCUCUUUCCUAUUUUGCAUCGGUUAUCAAGGGUUUCUCUAUUUCUCUAGAUCUCCUUCCACAAGUCGCUGGCUCGCUGCGGCUCUCUAUGCCAUACAUACACAAAUCAACCUUCUCUGAUCUCUCUAUGCCAUACAAUCAAAGAUGAUGAUUAUGAAGACAAAGAGGAAGGAGUCGAGGAGUUAAUUCCGUCGGAGACAACGUCGCCUAGGGUUUCAAGUUCGAUCGUACGGACGAUAAUGGAUAAAAAAGUGAGUUGAAUAGAGGUGAGAUCAAUGUUUGCCCUCUGAAGCUUUGUCUGCUGGUGGAGAUCUUUGAUUUUGGAGUUCCUUCCUAUAAAAGAGAUGCUUGAAGAUUCUAAAGAUGAACGUGAAAUAUCUUCGGACUGAAGAUUAUAUGAGGCCAAUAGUUCAAGAAACCAUACCGAGGCGGGAUUGUGAAUGCUAUAAUUGCGAUAAUACUUUGGAAGGAGUUGUUGCUAAUAGAGAGGAGUUGAGAACAAACAAGAUUAAUGUCAAGUCUCAGAUAAAGGAUUCAGAGGAGAUGCAAGAGUUAGUGAAUUCGUAUGUGGAUCAACUGGAGAAAGGUAAGCAGGCUAGAAAGGUAGCAAAGAGACGAGAAAAAACAAAACGUGCAAGUACUCCUCGGUACAUAAUACAAAGAACAAGGUAAUGAAGAAAUGGAUGAGGAGGGUCGAUCGCAGAACCAUGAAGAAAAUAAUUUCGAUUAGAUGUGGCCUGCCGGAUGGGUUUACAGAUUAUGAAAAAGAUCAUUAUGAUACGGAUGCAGUUACGUUAUUUCACAUUUGAAUGUCUUGAAAUUGAUCUUUACACAUUUUGCAGUUGAAACUAGACUUCUUAGCUUUUUUCUUCA